rnacentral:rRNA from 1 species
AAUGAACGUGGCGGCGUGGAUUAGGCAUGCAAGUCGAGCGAGAACCCGCAAGGGGGGACAGCGGCGAAAGGGACAGUAACGUGUAGAUCAUCUGCCCUCAGGUCCCGGGAUAGCUGCGGGAAACUGCAGGUAAUACCGGAUAAUGUCUCCGGACCAAAGGUGUGAUUCCGUCUGGGGAUGAGUCUACAUCCUAUUAGCUAGUUGGUGGGGUAACGGCCUACCAAGGCGAUGAUGGGUAGCGGGUGUGAGAGCACGACCCGCGUCACUGGGACUGAGACACUGCCCAGACACCUACGGGUGGCUGCAGUCGAGAAUCUUCGGCAAUGGGCGCAAGCCUGACCGAGCGACGCCGCGUGUGGGAUGAAGGCCUUCGGGUUGUAAACCACUGUCAGAGGGGAUGAAAUACAGGUGGGUACUCCCAUCUGCUUGACAUAUCCUCAGAGGAAGGACGGGCUAAGUUCGUGCCAGCAGCCGCGGUAAGACGAACCGUCCAAACGUUAUUCGGAAUUACUGGGCUUAAAGGGUGCGUAGGCGGCGCGGAAAGUUGGGUGUGAAAUCCCUCGGCUCAACCGAGGAACAGCGCCCAAAACUGCCG